ACCCAAGCAGUCGUGGCCGUGUGGUUAAGGCGAUAGACUAGUCCUGAGUACCCAAUACCUAAUCCGACAAAGAAACGCCCAUCUACAACCGCUACGACCUGGGUUCGAUUCCCGCAUUGGGCA